rnacentral:tRNA from 1 species
NGUGGGAUGCCGGAGCGGUUUAUCGGGGCGGUCUUGAAAACCGCUGUUGCCGUAAGGUAACCGGAGGUUCGAAUCCUCCUCCCACCG